rnacentral:rRNA from 1 species
UACAGAGGGGGCAAGCGUUGUUCGGAAUUACUGGGCGUAAAGGGCGCGUAGGCGGCCGCCUAAGUCAGACGUGAAAUCCCUCGGCUCAACCGGGGAACUGCGUCUGAUACUGGGUGGCUUGAAUUCGGGAGAGGGAUGCGGAAUUCCAGGUGUAGCGGUGAAAUGCGUAGAUAUCUGGAGGAACACCGGUGGCGAAGGCGGCGUCCUGGACCAACACUGACACUGAGGAGCGAAAGCCAGGGGAGCAAACGGG